rnacentral:lncRNA from 1 species
GAGACCAGUAAGUGCCCACAACCCUGACACUCAGGAAGCUGAAGCAGGAGAAUGGCUUCAGACAGCUAGACUACACAUAGCUCUGAAGGAUAGACAGCCUAGGGCUACAGAGAGACAGACCUCGUCUAAAUCAAACCAAGUACAUGAGGUUGAAAACAGCCUGCCACACAUAGUAAAUACCAUUUUACUGCCUCUGAUUGUUCCUAGCAUCAAGGGCUUUGACAACUGUAUUGCCCCUCUAAGUCCCUGUUUGUGUAUGGUAUAUUUGACUGUGUGUCUGGACAUUUUGUUUGAAAAAAUGUUUAGGAUCAAUCAUUUCGAGGCCUAGAAUGAAGGUACCUUUCCCAGAGAAGAUUUGGUCUGCUCCUGAUGAGCUG